rnacentral:misc_RNA from 1 species
GAUGAAGAACGUAGCGAAAUGCGAUACGUAAUGUGAAUUGCAGAAUUCAGUGAAUCAUCGAAUCUUUGAACGCUCCUUGCGCUCCUUGGUAUUCCGAGGAGCAUGCCUGUUUGAGUGUCAUUAAUAUAUCAACCUUCUCUUUUUUGAGUUGUUUGGAUGUGGGGGUUUGCUGGCCUCUUAAAUGAUUCAGCUCCCCUGAAAUGCAUUAGCAGAACAACCUGUUCAUUAGCGUGAUAAUUAUCUAUGCUAUUGAGUGUGAGGGCAGUUCAGCUUUCUAACCGUCCUUGGACAAUUCAUCAUUAAUGUGACCUCAAAUCAGGUAGGACUACCCGCUGAACUUAAGCAUAUCAAUAAGCGGAGGA